CCUACGGGAGGCAGCAGUGGGGAAUAUUGGACAAUGGGCGCAAGCCUGAUCCAGCAAUGCCGCGUGAGUGAUGAAGGCCUUAGGGUUGUAAGGCUCUUUUACCCGGGAAGAUGAUGACUGUACCGGGAGAAUAAGCCCCGGCUAACUCCGUGCCAGCAGCCGCGGUAAU
rnacentral:rRNA from 1 species